ensembl:lncRNA
GAAUCAUAGAACGGCUUGUGUUGGAAAGGACUUCAAAGAUCAUCUAAUUCCAACCUCCCUUUGCAGAAUCAUAGAAUGGCCUGGGCUGGAAAGGACCCCAAAGAUCACCAAGUUCCAACACCCCCUGCCACAGGCAGGGCCACCAACCUCCAGAUCUGGUUGGUACUAGAGCAGGCUGCCCAUGGCCCCAUCCAGCCUGGCCUUGAACACCUUCAGGGGCGGAGCAUCAACCUCUCUGGGCAGCCUGUUCCAGCACCUCACCACUCUCUUGGUUGAACAAGCCCGGCUCCCUCAGCCUGUCCUUGCAGGGGAGGUGAUGAUCAUCUUCAUGGCCCUUCUCUGGACUCUCUCCAACAGCUCCACCAAAGGGAUAAGGCUGUUCAGCCCAGACCCCUUGUUCCCUGACUCACUGUUCCUUUUUUUCUUAUUUUUUUUUUCUUUUUCUUUCUUCUUCCUCCUUUUCCUUGCAAGUUCAUAAACGUAGGUUGCUUUCCCAUUUGAAUGUAUUUUUUUUUUCUCAUACAAGUGUUAAGUUGGUUGUGAGUUUCAUUCUGGAAGAAUGUAUGAGUUAAAUAUAUAUGUAUAUGGCCACCUGGAACAUUUCUUCAGAGAUAUGUGUCCUAAUACAUUUUUAAAGCUUGAUUCCUUAUACAGCUGUCAGCUGAUUUUUUUCAAUAAAGAUCCCUUGUUUCUGCUUUUUCACUACUAAUUAGGUAAUAACACUACCACCUGUCCACAGGUUUUGUUUAUCUGGAAAGCUCAGUUUCAGACACACAGAAUGUAAUUAAGAAACUUUACAGGAGCUCUAAAGGCAGGGGAAAAAAAAAAAAAAAAAAAAAAGGCAGAUCAGUAUUUCAAGUAUUUUCCUUCUAAGAAUGUACUAUUUAAC